CCCAGCUAUUUUCAUGUGAAACAGUGACCGAAAGCAGUUCCAUGUGGUCGACGACAAAACACCGCUGGGCGUUCGAUAGUUUAAGAUAGCCACCGCCGCCACGUGUUCGUUCAUACGAACGAUGACCACCCAGCUGACCGUUCGGGAGAUGGAAGUCACUGAGGUUAACCACAGUGUCAAAGAGGUCAAAAAGAUUAACAAGCAG